rnacentral:rRNA from 1 species
UACGGAGGAUGCAAGCGUUAUCCGGAUUUAUUGGGCGUAAAGCGUCCGCAGGUGGUUUUCCAAGUCUGCUGUUAAAGCGCGAGGCUUAACCUCGUACAGGCAGUGGAAACUGGAUGACUAGAGUAUGGUAGGGGUAGCGGGAAUUCCCAGUGUAGCGGUGAAAUGCGUAGAUAUCAGGAGGAACACCAAUGGCGAAGGCAGCUCGCUGGAACGGUACUGACGCUGAGGCGCGAAAGCGUGGGGAGCGAACAGG